CCUACGGGAGGCAGCAGUAGGGAAUAUUGCUCAAUGGGGGAAACCCUGAAGCAGCAACGCCGCGUGGAGGAUGAAGGUUUUCGGAGUGUAAACUCCUUUUGUUAGAGAAGAGAAUGACGGUAUCUAACGAAUAAGCACCGGCCAACUCCGUGCCAGCAGCCGCGGUAACACGGAGGGCGCAAGCGUUACUCGGAAUCACUGGGCGUAAAGAGCGCGUAGGCGGGAUGGCAAGUCAGAUGUGAAAUCCUAUGGCUUAACCGUAGAACUGCAUUUGAAACUGUUAGUCUAGAGUAUGGGAGAGGUAGGUGGAAUUCUUGGUGUAGAGGUGAAAUCCGUAGAGAUCAAGAGGAAUACUCAUUGCGAAGGCGACCUGCUAGAACAUAACUGACGCUGAUGCGCGAAAGCGUGGGGAGCAAACAGGAUUAGAUACCCGUGUAGUC
rnacentral:rRNA from 1 species